rnacentral:rRNA from 1 species
ACUUCGCACUGUGCGAAAGCACGACGAGGGAAUCCCAAGUGCUGGCUCGUAAGAGUCAGCUGUUUCUCUGUCUAAAAAACAGAGAGAGUAAGGGCUGGGUAAGACGGGUGCCAGCCGCCGCGGUAAUACCUGCAGCUCAAGUGGUGGCCGCUAUUAUUGGGCCUAAAACG